rnacentral:rRNA from 1 species
AUGAAUUGCCUAAGUUGGAACUGCCGGGGAGGGGGGAACACCCGGACAGUUCGCGAGUUAGCGACGUUGUGUAAGUCGCAUUCCCCCAUGAUUGUCUUUCUGUGUGAAACCAGGCAAAAGGAGGAGAACAUGAAGAGGAUCCGAGCCAAGCUGGCCCUUAAGGGUUUUUGUGGAGUGGAUAGUGAUGGUUUGAGUGGUGGUUUGGCCUUGUACUGGAGUGAA